rnacentral:rRNA from 1 species
CGUAACAAGGUCUCCGUAGGUGAACCUGCGGAGGGAUCAUUACACAAAUAUGAAGGCGGGCUGGAACCUCUCGGGGUUACAGCCUUGCUGAAUUAUUCACCCUUGUCUUUUGCGUACUUCUUGUUUCCUUGGUGGGUUCGCCCACCACUAGGACAAACAUAAACCUUUUGUAAUUGCAAUCAGCGUCAGUAACAAAUUAAUAAUUACAACUUUCAACAACGGAUCUCUUGGUUCUGGCAUCGAUGAGGAACGCAGCGAAAUGCGAUAAGUAGUGUGAAUUGCAGAAUUCAGUGAAUCAUCGAAUCUUUGAACGCACAUUGCGCCCUUUGGUAUUCCAAAGGGCAUGCCUGUUCGAGCGUCAUUUGUACCCUCAAGCUUUGCUUGGUGUUGGGCGUCUUGUCUCUAGCUUUGCUGGAGACUCGCCUUAAAGUAAUUGGCAGCCGGCCUACUGGUUUCGGAGCGCAGCACAAGUCGCACUCUCUAUCAGCAAAGGUCUAGCAUCCAUUAAGCCUUUUUUUCAACUUUUGACCUCGGAUCAGGUAGGGAUACCCGCUGAACUUAGGCAUAUCA